AGCUCCAAUAGCGUAUAUUAAAGUUGUUGCAGUUAAAAAGCUCGUAGUUGGAUUUCUGGCAGGAGCGACCGGUCACACACUCUGUGUGUGAACUUGCGUUGUCUCUGGCCAUCCUUGGGAAGAUCCUGUUUGGCAUUAAGUUGUCGGGCAGGGGAUACCCAUCGUUUACUGUGAAAAAAUUAGAGUGUUUAAAGCAGGCUUAUGCCGUUGAAUAUAUUAGCAUGGAAUAAUAAGAUAGGACUUCGGAACUAUUUUGUUGGUUUGCGUUACGAAGUAAUGAUUAAUAGGGACAGUUGGGGGUAUUCGUAUUUCGUUGUCAGAGGUGAAAUUCUUGGAUUUCCGAAAGACGAACUACUGCGAAAGCAUUUACCAAGGAUGUUUUCA
rnacentral:rRNA from 1 species